AGGAUGAAUAAGUAAGUAUCGGGAAAACCACUACGUUGGUCUCCGGAACCAAAGGUCGGGCGUUCGAGUCGCCCAUCGCCUACCA
rnacentral:tRNA from 1 species